rnacentral:rRNA from 1 species
CAGUAGCCGCGGUAAUACGGAGGGUGCAAGCGUUAUCCGGAUUUAUUGGGUUUAAAGGGUCCGUAGGCGGACUUAUAAGUCAGUGGUGAAAGCCUGUCGCUUAACGAUAGAACUGCCAUUGAUACUGUAAGUCUUGAGUAUAUUUGAGGUAGCUGGAAUAAGUAAUGUAGCGGUGAAAUGCAUAGAUAUUACUUAGAACACCAAUUGCGAAGGCAGGUUACCAAGAUAUAACUGACGCUGAGGGACGAAAGCGUGGGUAGCGAACAGGAUUAGAUACCCCUGUAGUCCCUGUCUCUUAUAC